UACAUAAUGUAAUUUCAGCGAAGGAGGUUCUGUUGAACUCCUUCCGCUCACCUAGCUUCGCCCCUGCUUAUCACUUCUAGAAAAUAGGCUUUUUCCGUCCAAGACAUAUCGACCAAAGUCGGUCAGAAAAAAAAGACCGAAAUUGGUCGGAAAUACCAGUAUUUGAUCGAAAAAGUCAAAAAAAAAAUUUCCGACACCGAAAAUAUCGCACAACAAAAUAAAAUUUCAACCGAUUUCGGUCAGAAAUUGAUCAAUAUUUAACCAAUACCUGAUCAUACUUGUAUAUAAUGUACAAAAAUAAUUUUUUAUUAAAAUAUUUCCACAUUUCUGACCGAAGUCGGUCGAAAAGUUUGAAAUUAUUGGUUUUUGCCCAAGACAAAAAUUAUAUAUAUUUAAUUAAUCAGUCGAAAUAAAUAUAAUUUAAUAUUUUCAACCGAGUUCGGUCGAAAAAUGCUUUUUCUACAAAUUAAAAU
rnacentral:lncRNA from 1 species